GACGAACGCUGGCGGCGUGCCUAAUACAUGCAAGUAGAACGCUGAAGGAGGAGCUUGCUUCUCUGGAUGAGUUGCGAACGGGUGAGUAACGCGUAGGUAACCUGCCUGGUAGCGGGGGAUAACUAUUGGAAACGAUAGCUAAUACCGCAUAAUAGUAGAUGUUGCAUGACAUUUACUUAAAAGGUGCAAUUGCAUCACUACCAGAUGGACCUGCGUUGUAUUAGCUAGUUGGUGGGGUAACGGCUCACCAAGGCGACGAUACAUAGCCGACCUGAGAGGGUGAUCGGCCACACUGGGACUGAGACACGGCCCAGACUCCUACGGGAGGCAGCAGUAGGGAAUCUUCGGCAAUGGGCGAAAGUCUGACCGAGCAACGCCGCGUGAGUGAAGAAGGUUUUCGGAUCGUAAAGCUCUGUUGUAAGAGAAGAACGAGUGUGAGAGUGGAAAGUUCACACUGUGACGGUAUCUUACCAGAAAGGGACGGCUAACUACGUG
rnacentral:rRNA from 1 species